GCGUCGGUAGUGCAAUGGUCAGCAUACGCUCCCGGAGGAAAGAGUGAGAAUGGGUUCGAAUCCCGUCUGACGCA